UGGGCAGGGGAAACGCAGCUUAACAGGGAGGCACAGAGGCAGGCUUCUAGCUAGCAGGAGCUGAGUAGAGCAGGAAGAAAGAACAGAGAGAAGGGCUUGGAGAAAGCUUGAGAACAGGGUACCCCCGUCCAUCUAUUGGAUCGCUGGCAGAAGUUGCAAAGGUCCUGUGAAAUACCGGGAUAUGGGGUGCCAGUAAGCGGCCAUUUGAAUUGAUAUCUAAGGGGUAUUGGAGCAAAGGCGGAUAAGUUUAGCCCUAAGUCAGGUGGUAGGUAUGGUGGUAGGCCGAUUUUCUAUGAGUGGGGUAGAGAAGAUCCAAGGGCUGGAAUCACUAGCGUCCUAGAAAUUCAGUGAGGACUGAGGGGGAGGCACAGGCUGCUCAGUGGAUCAUCAUCAAAAAAAGCAGGGGCGGAGGGGUUAAGAGCCCGAGUGAGACACAGUUGCCUGCUACCAGGACUUCGAGAAAAAGCCAGAAGGUGAAGAGGACCUAGUGUUGGGAGGUAGAGGAGGAGACCUGAAGCUGUCCCCAGGCUAAGCAAGGACAUUGAGCAUCUUAACACUUCAGCAACAGAACCUGCUACGCUAAAAGCGACACAGGCGUUCUCCUUUGCAGCCAGAGACCUGGCCGCCGCUUCCCUUCCUGACAUGGUCACUCAUUUGAGUAUCUAACUAAGCCCCUGCCAGGACUCAUAGUGCCUGAGAACAAAGCCCUCUCCCAGCUCU